CUAUUUACUGACUAACAGCAAUAUUAAAGUCAAUUUCACCACCACCCCAGGCAUAUACACCUGUCAUAGUGAGCAAAACUUUUACAGGGCACUUUCCAAAUGGCACCUCCCCUGGAAAAAUGCACAAGGCUAUGAAACUCCUUUUAUUUUUAGACAGAUCUCAGGUACACAGCAUUAUCAUUCAGCAGACCAGAUCCGUCAGUCAACAGACCAAUCCUCCAGGUUUAAUGCUACUGCAUUAUACCUACAGACAUUGUGGAGGAAGGUUGGAGAAUGACAUCUGGAUGAAGCUAAGAAAAGACACUCACAUGGAAUUGAGAGGAAGGAGAGGUCAAAAAGGGUAUCCCCAUAGACCAAACAAUAGGGGUCAUUAGACAGAAGACAGGAAGAAGAUAAGAGGAUCGUAUGGCUGUUUCACACUGCACUCA
ensembl:lncRNA